UCAAAGUAGAAAUAAAUGCCCUGGAUUAAUAAUAAUUGAUGCUCAAGGAGGGGUACACUUGAACAUGAGCACACACAUAGAAAUAGUAAAUGUGAAUAAAAUUAUCAAUUUUCAUAAAUCUCAAAGAGUAAGAAGACAGUCACAUCACUCAGUGUCUGAGUACCCUCAGUUAAAUGUAUCUGGUCAGCGCCAUAGAAAAGGCCGGUCCCUCACUCAGCAGGCACAUGCACACACUGACUCACACUACUUAUCAGACAAACCAAAUAAGGAAGGGAAGAGGAGAACAGCAGACCCAUCUCAGAGUUGACUGCAAUACUAGCAGGACCCUCCCACAUUUACAUCUCUGAAUUUCAACUCCAUUUCCUAAAAAUAGAAAUCUAGCAUUUUUACAAUGUAAAAGUGAUUAAAAACCCUGUUUCCAACAGCAAAACUUGGCUCAAUGUUUAGCAGACGUGGGCUUUUGCUCCAACAAUACUGCCACCUAUUAAUGUUUUUAAAAAGAGAUCUUUGAAAGCAGAAUUCUGGUGUAUGAUUUAACCCUAGCACCCAGGGGAUAGAGGCAGGCAGAUCUCUGUGAGUUGUAGGCCAGCCUGAUCUACAGCGUGAGCUUGAGUCCAGCAAGGACCACAAAAUAAAAUCCUCUCAAGGGGCUGGGGAUUUAGCUCAGUGGUAGAGCGCUUACCUAGGAAGCGCAAGGCCCUGGGUUCGGUCCCCAGCUCCGAAAAAAAGAACCAAAAAAAAUAAAUAAAUAAAUAAAUAAAAAUAAAAUAAAAUAA
rnacentral:lncRNA from 1 species